UGGGGAAUCUUGCACAAUGGGGGAAACCCUGAUGCAGCGACGCCGCGUGAUUUAGAAGGCCUUCGGGUUGUAAAAAUCUUUUGUAUAGGAAGAAAAUGACAGUACUAUACGAAUAAGGACCGGCUAAUUACGUGCCAGCAGCCGCGGUAAUACGUAAGGUCCGAGCGUUGUCCGGAAUCAUUGGGCGUAAAGGGUACGUAGGCGGGUAAGCAAGUUAGAAGUGAAAUCCUAUAGCUCAACUAUAGUAAGCUUUUAAAACUGCUCAUCUUGAGGUAUGGAAGGGAAAGUGGAAUUCCUAGUGUAGCGGUGAAAUGCGCAGAUAUUAGGAGGAAUACCGGUGGCGAAGGCGACUUUCUGGCCAUAACCUGACGCUGAGGUACGAAAGCGUGGGUAGCAAACAGG
rnacentral:rRNA from 1 species